UACGUAGGGGGCUAGCGUUGUCCGGAUUUAUUGGGCGUAAAGAGCGUGUAGGCGGCCAGGUAGGUCUGCUGUGAAAACUCGAGGCUCAACCUCGAGACGUCGGCGGAAACCAUGUGGCUAGAGUCCGGAAGAGGCGAGUGGAAUUCCUGGUGUAGCGGUGGAAUGCGCAGAUAUCAGGAGGAACACCAAUAGCGAAGGCAGCUCGCUGGGACGUUACUGACACUGAGGCGCGAAAGCGUGGGGAGCGAACAGG
rnacentral:rRNA from 1 species